CUCCUCUCAUUUUUUAAUCAAGAAAAAUAAGCAUUAUAAAUUCCGUUUUAUCACAUUUUGUUGACAUAGUUAUCCGACAAAAAACACCCAAAUGACAAACCAGUAGUGAUUAUCUUUGUCAGGAUGCAUCAAAUGUAUAGACAAAGAUUUAAAUACACAUAUAUAUACUUGGUGUAUUUUCAGAUGAAAUAAAAAAAAAAAAGAUUUAAAUACACAAAGAGGUUCAAAAAAAGAGGGACGAAAGAUACCAAAGGGACAGUCAAACUGAUAAAUCUAAAACAAACUGACAACGCCAUGGCUAAAAAUGAAAAAGACAAACAGAAAAACAAUAGUACACGUGACACAACAUAGAAAACUAAAGAAUAAACAACACGAACCCCACCAAAAACUAGGGGUGAUCUCAGGUGCUCCAAAGAUAUUUCAAGGAAAUGGUGUUUAGAUCCAUUAAAUAACUUAAUAUGUUCACAAAAAAUUAGCCCGUCGCUUUCGGUUUACGAAUAGAACUAUCAGUGGUUCAUCAUUUAAGGUGGCUCGGGCCUAUUCGAAGUUUCUGUCAGAAGUGCUGUAUACUGUUGUUAUUUUAAUCUUUAUAGAGAUUGAAUCAAAUUGGUCGAAAAAAAUACGGGGUCCCAACAAUUUCAGCUCAGAGAAUUACUUUUAAAGAGGUACGUAAAAGGGACCGUGUUUCGAUGAAAUGAUAGGGACAAUAGAGGAAUAUCAAAAAACCGUUCUGUGACACUUGGUCCAAAACUGUCAUAUAAAAAGCUGAAAUAUAGCUUCAAAGAAUGAGCAAAAAUAACAUAGCUCACCGAUAAGGAAAAUUUAUUUUUUUGCUGUAAACCCACAAUUUUGGCGGCAAAAUGGUGAAGUUGGGUGAAAUGUCAUUUUGAGUCUUUCUCAAAUACACAUAAUAACUAUAAUAAUUUGUUAGUGACAAACGUACAAUGAUUUAACUUUUUUAAUCAAUCAAAAUAUUUAAAAAAAAAUAAUAGUGAAUUUACGACACAAACUUUUCGUGUGCAUGGUAAUUAAUAAAUUAACAAAUCAAUAACAAACAAAAAGGUAAUAUAUAGAUGUCUUAAACGGUGCUUUGUAAAUCAUAUAUUUACCGGCUUAGGUGAACAGAUUUUCAACUAUUGGAAAUUCCCCUAUCAUUUGAUUACAUUUAUAUGGCUAUAAAGGAAAAAUUGCCAUUUAAAAUCAGGUUUGAAUAUAAACGAUUGAUUCGAAAUUCGCUGUGAUGGCAUGACAAAAAAAAAUUAAGAUAGUAUCCAUAUAAAAAAUGUAUACAUUUUAGAGUAACACAAUGUUUUUCAAAACAGUCGUUUUACAUGAAAUAAUAGAUGUAUUUGGGAUAGGUGAAAGACUUUUGACAUUAUACUAUAGAAACUGUCGAUAAUUAUUAAUAGCAAAGGUGUUUGCAUACAGCAUUAACGUAUGGAAUUCCCGUCCAUUUCAUUGCGCCUGUGGCACCAACGCCUUGUAACGUGGCAAACAACCCUCCUGCCGUAACAUCUUCCUCCAUAUGAGGCCAUCCAACCAGCCGCCCAUGAUCCAGCUGCUAUACCAGUGGAAGUAAAUCCCAGUGUGGCCAGUACCGCUGGGCCAGCAACAACACUUGUUGCACCAACAGUAGCAAAACAGGAUGUGUAACACAGGAGGUUUCCU
rnacentral:lncRNA from 1 species